rnacentral:rRNA from 1 species
AGGCGGCCGCGAAUUCACUAGUGAUUAUCGAAUUCCCGCGGCCGCCAUGGCGGCCGGGAGCAUGCGACGUCGCCCAAUUCGCCCUAUAGUGAGUCGUAUGCUUCUCUUGAGAGCGGCGGACGGGUGAGUAAUGCCUAGGAAUCUGCCUGGUAGUGGGGGAUAACGCUCGGAAACGGACGCUAAUACCGCAUACGUCCUACGGGAGAAAGCAGGGGCCCUUCGGGCCUUGCGCUAUCAGAUGAGCCUAGGUCGGAUUAGCUAGUUGGUGAGGUAAUGGCUCACCAAGGCGACGAUCCGUAACUGGUCUGAGAGGAUGAUCAGUCACACUGGAACUGAGACACGGUCCAGACUCCUACGGGAGGCAGCAGUGGGGAAUAUUGGACAAUGGGCGAAAGCCUGAUCCAGCCAUGCCGCGUGUGUGAAGAAGGUCUUCGGAUUGUAAAGCACUUUAAGUUGGGACGAAGAACAUUAACCUAUACAUCAGCGUUGGGACGUUACCGACAGAAUCUCUGUGCCGGCAGCCGCGGUAAUAGGAAUCGAAUUCCCGCGGCCGCCAUGGCGGCCGGGAGCAUGCGAC